rnacentral:lncRNA from 10 species
GUUUUAAAUGGAUAACUGGUAAAUGUGAAGGAAGGUAGGAGGCAGAAGCCAGGGCUGGAUGGAAGGAAAUGACAUACAUACCUGGCCCCAAGCUGGUCUUGUGUUAGUUCAUUCAUUGCCACAGUAAGAUUUCUCCUAAGUGAGUUGAAAUAGCUUGUGGCCUCGGGAUAACUGACAUAGGAGGCUCUAAACUCCUCUGCCUCAAACCCAAGAUCUCUAUCUGCUCUCUUGUUCUCUGAUAACACUAAACCUUCACUACAGACUUUUGCCAGGUUGCCCUACAAUGCGUUGCAGGGGACGCCCUAUCCAAUGAUGAGGAGGGGGAAUCAUAUAUAAACUGGGAUAUAAAUGGUGCCUUUAGGAUCUACACCAUUAUACGCAGCUACGGGCCACAUUCUGGGAGCAAACAUUUCCUGGCACAACUGCGAUGGACCUGGAGCUUGAAUUACGUUCUAAGUCUUGUGGAUGUGGUCUCCUACACUUUACUAGCAGCUCCUCAAGAAGCUUGAACUCUUCAAGAGAUGUCUUUAACUCUCUACAUCUCCAGUGAUGCUGGUACAGGGCCUGGCACAUACCCUUGCCAACUAACUCCUGCAAUGGAUGCGAUGUGGAUUUCAAAAGAGACUGCUCAGUGACAUGCACAAUUCACUACGUGAUUCAGUUACCGUAAUUACUCUCCAAGUCAACCCUUUCACAAACGAUCAUGAUAGAAUUAUGAAUGAAUAAUGGAAUUGGUAUGAUUUUACUUGUGUAUCUACCACAGAGUUCAGUUAAAUUAGCUUUUCUAAAAAGUGAUUUGAUUAUAAUCUCUAAAAAAAAAUCUAAAAGGAAUCAACCGUCCCAUUUAUCACAGAAAAAUCUCUUUAAUAAAGAAAGCUCCAAGCUCCACA